UACGGAGGGGGCUAGCGUUGUUCGGAAUUACUGGGCGUAAAGCGCACGUAGGCGGCUUCUUAAGUCGGUGGUGAAAUCCUGGAGCUCAACUCCAGAACUGCCUUCGAUACUGGGAAGCUCGAGUCCGGGAGAGGUGAGUGGAACUGCGAGUGUAGAGGUGAAAUUCGUAGAUAUUCGCAAGAACACCAGUGGCGAAGGCGGCUCACUGGCCCGAUACUGACGCUGAGGCACGAAAGCGUGGGGAGCAAACAGG
rnacentral:rRNA from 1 species